UGUCGUCAGCUCGUGUUGUGAAAUGUUGGGUUAAGUCCCGCAACGAGCGCAACCCUUAUCCUUUGUUGCCAGCGGUCCGGCCGGGAACUCAAAGGAGACUGCCAGUGAUAAACUGGAGGAAGGUGGGGAUGACGUCAAGUCAUCAUGGCCCUUACGACCAGGGCUACACACGUGCUACAAUGGCGCAUACAAAGAGAAGCGACCUCGCGAGAGUAAGCGGACCUCAUAAAGUGCGUCGUAGUCCGGAUUGGAGUCUGCAACUCGACUCCAUGAAGUCGGAAUCGCUAGUAAUCGUGGAUCAGAAUGCCACGGUGAAUACGUUCCCGGGCCUUGUACACACCGCCCGUCACACCAUGGGAGUGGGUUGCAAAAGAAGUAGGUAGCUUAACCUUCGGGAGGGCGCUUACCACUUUGUGAUUCAUGACUGGGGUGAAGUCGUAACAAGGUAACCGUAGGGGAACCUGCGGUUGGAUCACCUCCUUACCUUAAAGAAGC
rnacentral:rRNA from 1 species